GAUGAACGCUGGCGGCGUGCCUAAUACAUGCAAGUCGAGCGGAAGGACGAGAAUCUUGUUUCUCUGCUGUUAGCGGCGGACGGGUGAGUAACAAGUGGAUAACCUACCUAUAAGACUGGGAUAACUUCGGGAAACCGUAGCUAAUACCUGAUAAUAUUUUGAACCGUAUGGCUCCCAAGUGAAAGACGGUCUUGCUGUCACUUAUAUAUGGAUCCGCGCUGCAUUAUCUAGUUGGUAAGGUAACGGCGUACCAAGGCAACGAUGCAUAGCCGACCUGAGAGGGUGAUCGGCAACACUGGACUGGAGAUGCGGUCCAGACUACUACGGUACGCAGCGGAGGGGAAUCUUACGCAAGGGGCGAGAGCCUGGCGGAGCAACGCCGAGUGAGGGAUAGAAGUCUUCGGAUAGGGAAACUCUGCUAUUAGGGAAGAACAUAUGUGAAAGUAACGGUGCACAUCUUGACGGUACCUAAUCAGAAAGCCACGGCUAACUACGUG
rnacentral:rRNA from 1 species